UACGUAGGGUGCGAGCGUUGUCCGGAAUCAUUGGGCGUAAAGGGCGCGUAGGUGGCCCGGUCAGUUCGUGGUGAAAGCGCGGGGCUCAACCCUGCGUCGGCCAUGAAUACUGCCGCGGCUGGAGCACUGUAGAGGCAGGCGGAAUUCCGGGUGUAGCGGUGGAAUGCGUAGAGAUCCGGAAGAACACCGGUGGCGAAGGCGGCCUGCUGGGCAGUUGCUGACGCUGAGGCGCGAAAGCUAGGGGAGCAAACGGG
rnacentral:rRNA from 1 species